rnacentral:rRNA from 1 species
UACGAAGGGGGCUAGCGUUGUUCGGAAUUACUGGGCGUAAAGGGCGCGUAGGCGGUCCCUCAAGUCAGGCGUGAAAGCCCCGGGCUCAACCUGGGAACCGCGUUUGAGACUGGUGGGCUAGAGUCCGGGAGAGGAUGGUGGAAUUCCCAGUGUAGAGGUGAAAUUCGUAGAUAUUGGGAAGAACACCGAUGGCGAAGGCGGCCAACUGGACCGACACUGACGCUGAGGCGCGAAAGCGUGGGGAGCAAACAGG